rnacentral:siRNA from 1 species
CCUGGUGAAGAUGGUGUCUUU